rnacentral:rRNA from 1 species
GAUCCUGGCUCAGGACGAACGCUGGCGGCGCGCCUAGCACAUGCAAGUCGAACGGUGAAGAGGAGCUUGCUCCUCGGAUCAGUGGCGGACGGGUGAGUAACACGUGAGCAACCUGGCUCUAAGAGGGGGACAACAGUUGGAAACGACUGCUAAUACCGCAUAACGUAUCGGGAUGGCAUCUUCCUGAUACCAAAGAUUUUAUCGCUUAGAGAUGGGCUCGCGUCUGAUUAGA